GGUCGUGCCGCGGUUUGAACUCCGGACAUCUGACAUACCAGGCGAGCGUGUUACCACCACUCUACCGAC
rnacentral:tRNA from 11 species